UCCGAGUUGACCCCGGCAGUCUCCUAUGAGUCCCCGGCAUUAUCCGCUGGCAACAUAGGACGAGGGUUGCGCUCGUUGCGGGACUUAACCCAACAUCUCACGACACGAGCUGACGACAACCAUGCACCACCUGUCACCGGCCCCGAAGGACCCCGCAUCUCUGCGAGAUUUCCGGCGAUGUCAAACCCAAGUAAGGUUCUUCGCGUUGCAUCGAAUUAAUCCGCAUGCUCCGCCGCUUGUGCGGGCCCCCGUCAAUUCCUUUGAGUUUUAGCCUUGCGGCCGUAGCCCCCAGGCGGUGUACUCAUUGCGUAAGCGCAGGCACCGAGCAGCGCAAUCACUGCCCAGCGCCGGGUACACAUCGUUUACGGCGUGGACUAC
rnacentral:misc_RNA from 1 species